GUAAGUGCCCUUUUCUUCCUUAUGCCUUUCUCUUUUUCAAGGAUGGAUCUAGAUUCACUGCUCCAUCGGGAACUUUCUUGGAUGGUUGUAUGAAUCCACGUUUGCUGCCCAUGGCUACUCUAUGGGGCAAAUUGUGGCAUUCAGCUUGAAGAGAUUCAGUACCUUAAGCCUCAGGGUGAUGGAGAAUGAAUUAAUCCAUUCCUUCCUGACUCUAUCUCUAAUAGACAAAUUUUACGUGGGCGCGGGUCGGCCACUUAAGUCAUUAGGACGGCCGCCAAUCUCCAAGACUCCCGUGGAAGGUUUCUUUUCCUAAGGCUGGAUUGGGAUCCCUCCCUCUGGCACCUGACCACGCUCUGAACUGCGAGGAAAGUCCCACUCGGGACUCCAGUUCAAGGGAAGUACCAAACUCUAACCUUUGGUGGAGUAUGGGAACCCCUUCUUGGGAGAAUGGCUCCAGGAUGCAAUUGGGUAGAAUGUCCCCCAGACUGGCGGAAAAUUCCUCACUGUCUUUCUCUUUCUCACUGUCUUUGUCCUUUUCUCUCCUGGGGACCAUACGCCAGGCACCUAUUCCUGCCAGGCAGAAUAGGGAAGAUGUUCAAGGGAUGCCCCCAUCAUACCUUGCUACAGGAACCCCAAUGGGGGGAUUUUCAAGGUAAUGGCUCCCUUUCUCUGGGACCAUUCACCAGGCACCUAUUCCUGCCAGGCAGAAUAGGGAAGAUGUUCAAGGGAUGCCCCGAUCAUCCCUUGCUACAGGAACCCCAGUGGGGGGAUUUUCAAGGUAAUGGCUCCCUUUCUCUGGGACCAUACGCCAGGCACCUAUUCCUGCCAGGCAGAAUAGGGAAGAUGUUCAAGGGAUGCCCCCAUCAUCCCUUGCUACAGGAACCCCAAUGGGGGGAUUUUCAAGGUAAUGGCUCCUUUUCUUUCUCCUUUUCUCUCCUGGGGACCAUACGCCAGGCACCUAUUACUGUCAGGCAGAAUAGGGAAGAUGUUCAAGGGAUGCCCCCAUCAUCCCUUGCUACAGGAACCCCAUUGGGGGGAUUUUCAAGGUAAUGGCUCCCUUUCUCUGGGACCAUACGCCAGGCACCUAUUCCUGCCAGGCAGAAUAGGGAAGAUGUUCAAGGGAUGCCCCCAUCAUCCCUUGCUACAGGAACCCCAAUGGGGGGAUUUUCAAGGUAAUGGCUCCCUUUCUCUGGGACCAUACGCCAGGCACCUAUUCCUGCCAGGCAGAAUAGGGAAGAUGUUCAAGGGAUGCCCCCAUCAUCCCUUGCUACAGGAACCCCAAUGGGGGGAUUUUCAAGGUAAUGGCUCCUUUUCUUUCUCCUUUUCUCUCCUGGGGACCAUACGCCAGGCACCUAUUACUGUCAGGCAGAAUAGGGAAGAUGUUCAAGGGAUGCCCCCAUCAUCCCUUGCUACAGGAACUCCAUUGGGGGGAUUUUCAAGGUAAUGGCUCCCUUUCUCUGGGACCAUACGCCAGGCACCUAUUCCUGCCAGGCAGAAUAGGGAAGAUGUUCAAGGGAUGCCCCCAUCAUCCCUUGCUACAGGAACCCCAAUGGGGGGAUUUUCAAGGUAAUGGCUCCCUUUCUCUGGGACCAUACGCCAGGCACCUAUUCCUG
rnacentral:lncRNA from 1 species